rnacentral:rRNA from 1 species
UACGGAGGGUGCGAGCGUUGUCCGGAAUCACUGGGCGUAGAGGGCGCGUAGGCGGCUACUUAAGCGUGUGGUGAAAGUCCGGGGCUCAACCCCGGAUCGGCCGUGCGAACUGAGUGGCUUGAGCACUGUAGAGGCAGGUGGAAUUCCGGGUGUAGCGGUGGAAUGCGUAGAGAUCCGGAAGAACACCGGUGGCGAAGGCGGCCUGCUGGGCAGUGGCUGACGCUGAGGCGCGACAGCGUGGGGAGCAAACAGG